GGGUUUUUGCUUUGUUUCUUGCAUGAAAAUGUAAGUUCUUUUUCCCCAUUUUCUUUUUUUGGGCCAACGAGGGUGAAUGAUGUGGUGGGCAGAGGGGCCAGUUGGGGGUUCUUUUGUUUAAUUCUUUUCAAAUUAAUGUGAAGAUAAUGUUUGAUAGAAUCUUAUUGGGAAGACAAAGUGUGUGAAUCACAUUCAGCAGAGUGGGAGAGAGGGUGAAGAAAUUUAAGAGAGGAUUUUGAAGGUUGAAUGAUAGCUCAGCUAGAGAAAUGAAUGAGAGAAAACCUCAAAGGCCUUGUGGUUGUGUGGGCAUUUUCUUUUAGCUCUUUGAUUGGAACCGUAGAUUUGCCAAGAAACUGUUUCCAAAGAAACUGCUUUCACCAGCUUUCUUGAAACAAGCUUCAAAAAAGCUUGGAGGGGAUGAGAAGCAGCCAAAGCUUCGUUUGAUUGCUGAUGAGAACAGUGGGGGUUUUCUAAAUGCAAAGAAUAAUGGAAUGACCGAUACACGUUGUGAAAGCAAGCGUGAAAUGAAAGCUCCAAGUUUGGUUGUUAGGCUCAUGGGUUUGGAAUCGAUGCCAGCAGGAUCAGGAAGUAAGCCCCACUUCAGCUUCUGAAACUUGGAGCAAUGUGGCAGACAAACUUGGUGCUCGACCUGGCGGAUCUGAUAAAGAAGAUAUGGAUUUUGAGAUGGCCAAAAUAAAGAGUUCAGAACCAGGUUUGCAAUAGUUUAGAGCUAAAUGUGCUCUCACUUAUCCAACUAGAUAUUUUUCUCCUUUGGAAGAUGAAGCAGAUUUAGAUUGGAAUUCACUUGAUCACCAUUCAACUGACAGCUACCUCUCCAGCAGUCCCAAUAGUAGCUCAAGACAAAGUGCUUGCUGAAUCAGUGGACUCUGUUGAUGAUGAACCACUCUUUCCAGAACCUGAUAGAGAUCUUUCGGAUUGUGAGACCUCGGUAUCCACCAGGAGGAGUUGUAGAGAACUGAUUCAUAAUGUUUCUGGAGUGCUCAGCAAGAUUGAUCAGUUAAAAGGAAGCAAACUCAGCUACGCAAAACAGGUCAUUUUGAAUGCUGAACUUAUAUUUGGAGCUACACCUCAACAGUAGGCUCUACCUGUAGAGAAUGGGUUCUCUCUGAGCCAUUUUCUCAAUGAACCUGAAAUGUUUUCGAGUUUUCUGUGGAUGGCUUUCGGUGAGUUGUUUGGCUCUAAUGACCCAAAACAGAUGAAUGAGCUUAAAGGAUUCUCCUUUGAUUGUCUAUUAGAGUACCUAGACUCAAAAUUUUCUCCAAUCUCUGAUUCUGUUUUCAGAACCUGUACCAAACUUCCAUCAAGUAUGACCAAAGAGAUUCUAAUUGCUGAUAUUAUUGAUGAGGUCGAAGAGUGGACACAACUUGUUGGUUUAAUCCCAGACGAGCUAAUAAAAUGGGAUAUGAGCCAUUCUUUGGGUAAAUGUACGGACUUCGAGAUUGAAGAAUAUGAAUGUGGCACUGAAGUUGCUACGCAUAUUCUCCAAGAAUUAGUAGAUAAAGUUGUUUUAGACCUCUACAGUUCUAGCUAAAUUUGGAUGGAACUGUUAGUAGCUCCUUUUUUUGAGACUUUCUUGCAAUCCUAUCAGUGCUGUUCUCAUGUGAUAACUCUUGACUCGAUAAUGUCAAGCAAAGUAUUUUGUACAAAUCAUUGAUUCUGCAUCUGAUUCAACUUAUUGUACUUGUGCUUUUGCAUUUAUGAAUAUUAAGAACAAUCCCUUCGUGAA